CCUACGGGUGGCAGCAGUGGGGGAUAUUGGACAAUGGGGGAAACCCUGAUCCAGCGACGCCGCGUGAGUGAAGAAGUAUUUCGGUAUGUAAAGCUCUAUCAGCAGGGAAGAAAGAAAUGACGGUACCUGAGUAAGAAGCCCCGGCUAACUACGGGCCAGCAGCCGCGGUAAUACGUAGGGGGCAAGCGUUAUCCGGAAUUACUGGGGGUAAAGGGAGCGUAGACGUUAAUGCAAGUCUGGAGUGAAAGGCUGGGGCCCAACCCCCGGACUGCUCUGGAAACUGUGUAAGUGGAGUGCAGGAGUGGCAGGCGGAAGUCGUAGUGGAGUGGUGAAAUGCGUAGAUAGU
rnacentral:rRNA from 1 species